rnacentral:rRNA from 1 species
GAUGAACGCUGGCGGCGUGCCUAAUACAUGCAAGUCGAGCGAACAGAUGAGGAGCUUGCUCCUCUGACGUUAGCGGCGGACGGGUGAGUAACACGUGGAUGACCUACCUAUAAGACUGGGAUAACUUCGGGAAACCGGAGCUAAUACCGGAUAAUAUAUUGAACCGCAUGGUUCAAUAGUGAAAGACGGUUUUGCUGUCACUUAUAGAUGGAUCCGCGCCGCAUUAGCUAGUUGGUAAGGUAACGGCUUACCAAGGCAACGAUGCGUAGCCGACCUGAGAGGGUGAUCGGCCACACUGGAACUGAGACACGGUCCAGACUCCUACGGGAGGCAGCAGUAGGGAAUCUUCCGCAAUGGGCGAAAGCCUGACGGAGCAACGCCGCGUGAGUGAUGAAGGUCUUCGGAUCGUAAAACUCUGUUAUUAGGGAAGAACAAAUGUGUAAGUAACUAUGCACGUCUUGACGGUACCUAAUCAGAAAGCCACGGCUAACUACGUG